ACAGUUGCGUCCAACUACUCUAUAUUUUCUAUUCUGUCCGUUCGUUUAAGUAAUACUAUCCCGCUGGAAACGAAAGCAUUUCUCAAAGUAAUACUAUCCCGCUGGAAACGAAAGCAUUUCUCAAAACCUCCAAUUCAAGACUCCAUACACAGUGUGGCCAUGGAAUCAGUUACAGAAGUUUUAAUGUCUGAACUCAGGCGUUUGUGUUCAUAGAUACAGUAAUGGGUAGGUGAUAAACACUAAAUUAAAACAAUAGAUACAGGUGCGGAGCCAGAAUUUGUUUCUUGAAGGGGAAGGAGCAGGAGUAGUAGACUUAAUUUGUUGUUGCCUCAGCCAAACGUCUGGAUUUAGCUGGGCUUCGUCGCAGUGUGCCACAGAAGAUUAAGAUUUUGAUGAUGGUAAAAAAAAUGGCAGGAAAAGGGAAUCCAAAUUUAGAAAAAGUUCUUGAGGCUCAGUAUCUGAUCAAGAAGAUGCAUGAAGUUUCACAGCUGAUGGGUGUGGAUCUCGAUCCGAAAACUCUGGUGCUCAGCAUGCGGCUGAUGGAACACGGAGCUAAUCCAGCAGCUCUUGCAAAAUUAAUCAAAGAUAUCAAAAGAACUGUAAGUAUUCUGGAAGAGACAGACAAGCAAGACAAAGGAAGGGAAAACAAAUGAAGCAUUUAACUGAGAAUGUCAUAAAGAUUGUCCUUAGAUCGCCAGAUAUGUGCAAGCUGUGAAAUAGUGUGGAGUGUAAUUAUUGAAGAGUGGAUUAUUUUGAACAGUAGCUCAAAUUUCUUUAUAGAAAGUAGUUGGGAGUUUGUGCUACUGAAGCAAACCAAUAUCUUUUUGUGAAAAGGUAUUUACUGAUGUUCAGAAGAUUAACAUGUUAGAAGGAACUGCAACACAUGUGUAGCUCAGUGAAGUGCAUCAUCAAUGAUAUAAAUGUUUUGGAUUAUUGUACUUUAUUAUUGAAUUCAAAAGCAACUGAGUAUUAAAGAAAUGCCUCUGUGUGUAAUUGUCUGAUGACCUAGUUUUACUAUAAUGGUAUUCAGUUGUCCAUUCAUUGUCUUAUCGUUCUAGUUUUAUUUCUGGUUUCAUUUACACCUAGGAGCUACUUAAAACUUAAGCGGUUGGAUAAAAAUACUCACCUUCAUUAAUACAAGUGGAGCAGGAUAUAAAAGAAUGUUUGAUAUGAAUUGUCGGCUUUGACCUGUGACAUAAGAAACAUGGAACAAACACUGUAAAUAAUACAUGAUAAAGAAUUACAUAUAAACAUGGUAAGUGGAAGGUGGAAAGAAAAUAGCUGUUAAAUUUGCGAAAAAUACUUGCAAAUUGACACUAUUUUCUUUUCCACCAUCCACUUAUCUUGUUUGUACGUAAUUCUUUCAUGUUUUUGUGCAUCUGUUUUAUGGCACAUUGCUCUGAUCAGCUUUGAAACUUCCUGGGAGAUUAAAACUGUGUGCCGGACUGAGACUCGAACUUGGGACCUUUGCCUUUCGCGGGCAAGUGCUCUACCAACUGAGCUACCCAAGCACGACUCGCGCCCCGUCCUCACAGCUUUACUUCUGCCAGUAUCUCGUCUCCUACCUUCCAAACUUUACAGAAGCUCUCAUGCAAAUCAUGCAGGACUAGCACUCCUGAAAGAAAGGGUAGCUCAGUUGGUAGAGCACUUGCCCACAAAAGGCAAAGGUCCCUAGUUAGAGUCUCAACCCAGCACACAGUUUUAAUCUGCCAGGAAAUUUCAUAUCAGCGUUCACUCCGCUGCAGAGUGAAAAUCUCAUUCUGAUCAACUUUAAUUGGCGUCUCUUACGUCACUGUAAUUGCCAAGCUAAGUUGUGUAAAUUUUCUCCUAUGAUUUUCGCUUUCUGUUUACCCAGUUUCUAAAAUUUUGUCUGUUUUCAUGACCUUCCUGAUCAAUCUUUUCCUUUUAGUCAUUAUCUCUUAUUAAUGAUUUAUGUACAGAUUUUUCCAACUUUUUUGUUGCUUUUCUUACAUUUUUCUAUCUUUUCCACCCUCUGCUUAUUUUUUUUGCCACGCUUACGAUUUUUAACUCUCCAAACUGUCCUCUCUUGCCAUGAUGAAUCCCAUCUCAUAUUACAUCUGUUCCUUUCAAAAACAUGCCUUUGCAUUAUCAGAACUAAGGUCCUACAUUCUGUUUUUUGAAACCUGCUUAUCCCUUGGAAAUACUUCAAAAAGCCUAAUGUUGAUGCAAUCCAACCCUACACCAUGCUCUUUUAAAAUGUCAGAUACAGCAAUCUCUUGCUCUUACCUGGCUAAUCUGUGACCUACAUGCCUCAUCAGCCAGUUUCCACUCUACCAGACUUCUCUCCUUCUACAAAAUCCUGCCCCUCAUGUUUCCUUGAAUGGUAUCAUCUACCAAGCCAAUUUAAGACUGCAACAACAUGCCAGACUUCACCUCUGAAAGCUAUCCCACCUUCUUCUAAACUACCUGAGCGGUGGUAUUUCCCUUCCUGUCCCUCUGCUGCUCCCUAUACAGCCACACCAUCAGCCACCAAUCCUCUCCUACAAACUGAGCUUGGCCAACCUCCUUAAUAUCCCACAGCCUUUACCACUGCCUCCCAGACCAAGAAUAACCCAUAAUCCCAAGAAACAGUCACAACAGUACAGUGUCCCUAUCCUCUCAUCUAAAGCACUCUCCUCUCCUCUCCUCUGUAUUAACUAAAAGCCCAUUUUCAGCCCUAAACCUGCAUUUGAUCAUGCAGGUCUGGUGAAGGACCUUCUUUCUUUCACAUGUAAUAUCUGUUGGAAAUAUCACUUUGCAACCCAACCCCAAAACUUUUCCAACAGCAAACCUGACAUUGAACCCUGCCUUACACACUGUAAACAAUAUGACGACUGUAAUAUGAUGUUAUGUAUUUUGAAAACAGGCUGAGCUACUUAUCAGCCUGUUGCCACAACCAGGUUUUGUCAGAUUAAUUGGCUUCACAAACUCGCAGCCAAAGCCAAUGACUUGUAUUGAACAAUCCCCUUGACCUGUGGAGAACAAGUCGUAUACUUGCUAUUGGAGGCAGGAUAAAUGAAAUAAACCAAUAAACAUUUUGAUAAAACGUUAGUGUAUAAAUUUGAUUAAACAUAUUCCCAUUGUUUUUAUAAUUAUAAUAAUUAAAAAAUAUGUUACCUUUAUAGUUGUUACAUGUAUUGUUGGAACUUAGCGUAAAUUUUACAUUGUUAGAGUGGUUUAUCAUGAAGUCAUUGAAUUUUUUUAUUCACCAUUGGUGCUGACCAGAUUUUAAGAUGGAGACAUGUGCUUGCUUAUAUUUGGUACUAGUAUACUAUGUUUUUGCCAUAGGUAGGCCACACCCUUGCUACCAUUCCCAUAAGUACCUGUGUAAAUGUAAUUAUCACCUUCCAAGUAGUCAGUGAAAACUUGGGUAUCCUUGACCACCACAUAUCAAGGGAGAGGCUAAGUAUUUAGUUUCCGGAUGAAUUAACAUGUCAACAAAGAGUUGCAAAUAAAAUGAUUAUUGAUUAUAUUGCUCAGUGGCAGUGAAUUCAUGUACAUUAUCUUGAUGUAUUGACACCUAUUCACUUGAUAUGUAUAUUUUGACUGCAUCAAUUUGAUUUGAAAUAUUAAUCCAUGAAAUAUAACCCUUGACUACUAUAUCCUUGUGAAAUUUAAGAAUGCAAUUGGUACUGAUUUGUGGUUCCAACCAAUUUGGUAUUGUUAAUACAGGGUGUAAAAUCA